rnacentral:rRNA from 1 species
GUUCCAGCAGCCGCGGUAAUACGUGGGGUGCAAGCGUUGUUCGGAAUUACUGGGCGUAAAGCGCGUGUAGGCGGCGCACUAAGUUCGAUGUGAAAGCCCUGGGCUUAACCCAGGAACUGCAUUGAAAACUGGUGGGCUUGAGUCCGGGAGAGGGUCGCGGAAUUCCUGGUGUAGAGGUGAAAUUCGUAGAUAUCAGGAGGAACACCGGUGGCGAAGGCGGCGACCUGGACCGGUACUGACGCUGAGACGCGAAAGCGUGGGGAGCAAACAGGAUUAGAUACCCCCGUAGUCC